UACGUAGGGUGCAAGCGUUGUCCGGAAUUAUUGGGCGUAAAGGGCUCGUAGGCGGUCUGUUGCGUCAGGAGUGAAAACUCGGGGCUUAACCCCGAGCCUGCUUCUGAUACGGGCAGACUAGAGGUAUGCAGGGGGGAACGGAAUUCCUGGUGUAGCGGUGAAAUGCGCAGAUAUCAGGAGGAACACCGGUGGCGAAGGCGGUUCUCUGGGCCAUUACUGACGCUGAGGAGCGAAAGCGUGGGGAGCGAACAGG
rnacentral:rRNA from 1 species